rnacentral:rRNA from 1 species
AUUGAACGCUGGCGGCAGGCCUAACACAUGCAAGUCGAGCGGAGCAGCAGACGGGUGAGUACUGCCUAGGAAUCUGCAUGUUAGUGGGGGAUAACGUACGGAAACGGGCGCUAAUACCACAUACUAUCAGAUCAGCCUAGGUCGGAUUAGAUAGUUGGUGGGGUAAAGGCCUACCAAGGCGACGAUCCGUAAAUGGUCUGAGAGGAUGAUCAGUCACACUGGAACUGAGACACGGUCCAGACUCCUACGGGAGGCAGCAGUGGGGAAUAUUGGACAAUGGGCGAAAGUCUGAUCCAGCCAUGCCGCGUGUGUGAAGAAGGUCUUCGGAUUGUAAAGCACUUUAGGUUGGGAGGCGUUACCAACAGAGUAAGCACCGGCUAACUUCGUGCCAGCCGCCGCGGUAAUAC